GACUCAACCCUAGAGCCUGUCUUCAGUGAUGUGGCAUGUGACCUGACCUGGAGGUUUAGUCUCUGUGGGUCUGAGGCUGGAGCUGGACAUCCCUAUUUACAGCAAGAUCACAGGGUCUUCCAAUGACACACUCAGCUUCCUCCCUGCAGCUGUCCAGAGCUGUGCUCACACACAGACAUGCGGGAGGAGGAAUGAAUAACCAUGACUCCCUCCAAGGAGCCACAUUCUGGGAGGGACUCACCUCAUCAGCCUUCACUCGGACUAGAUCCUCACAGAUGCCAUGGACACACAGUGCCUUGGAGCCCCCUUCACAGUCAUCAUAUUUUGAUGCACACUGGGGGCCGUGUGUCUCAGAUUUCCUAGAGAUGGCUGCUAUAAUUGCAUAUUUGCCUUAUUUGCAAAAUGGUCAGUGAAUAAUUUACGUAGAGGAAGAUAAUCCCAUACAUCAGCCUAAAAGUUUUUCCCUAUUUGUUUUUAACAUCAUUGUUUUCUUGAAGAAAAAUUACACCUUUGCUCUUCUGGCUAUUUGUGGAAACUAAUGACCACCUGCCCUAGGCCCUCAGCAGCAAUAAUCCAUGUGUCUACUUACUGUUGGAAGUCGAUACUUCUUUUUUGUCUCUGCAGUUCAAAUCCUCCAGCUUCACCAUUUGAUUCAGCAAAUGUCAACAAAAUAAUCAAACUCCAAAGAAAAGGUGAGGACAUGCUCCGCAGCAACCCUCCUAGGGUGUUGGUAAGAGGGAAGCCACUCCAGCCAAGUGUGGAAUUUCAGAGAAAGCAAACCAGGCAGAUGUACUUUGGCCUGUGAAGUGUCCUGCAACUUUUCAGUUCUCUCUUCUUUGCCCUAGAAGGCCGUGUUAUUUUUUCUUUCCCAAGGGAUGUAAAUGAUCUUAGAUCUUCAGUACUCUUCAACUUGUAAGAGGUCAAAAUCUACCUUGAAGUGAUGCACAACUUAAUCAUUAUCUGUCUGACCUUUGAAAUGGUAACCAACUGCUUUGGAAACAUCCACUAUAACAAUCCUUGGUUAAGAAGUAGCCACCUUUCAGCAAAUGAUAGUAGAAAAACUGGAUAUCAACAUGCAGAAAAAUGAAAUUGGACCCUUACUUUAUGUCAUACAAAAAUUAACUCAAAAUGAAUCAAAUGCCUUAAAACAGGAGCCAACACUCAUGGAAGAAAACAAAGGGUGGAAAGCUUCCUGACAUUGGGCUUAGCAAUGAUUUUUUGGAAAUGACAACAAAAGCACAGGGAACAAAAGCUUGCAGAAUGGGGAAAAUAUUUACUAAUUAUAUAUGUGAUAAGAGGUUAAUAUUCAGAAUACAUGAAGAACU